UGGCAGUGAUGCGGGAAGCACAGCCCAGCGCCCCCUGAGCACUGAGGCUGUGGCCAGACCCCCACCCACCCUCCCGCAUCCCCACCCGCCGAGGGAAGUUUGCGCAUCAGGCUCCGCUGUCUCCCUCCUUGCCCGGGCUAGGAGCAGAGGAACCAGAUCAGCCGCCAGGGUUUGUGUGCUCAGCUCGCCCCGAUGGACGGGCAGGCUCCGACCUUUGUCCCUCUGGCCCCGGCCCCCCCAGACCACAUCCCCGGCCCCCAAGGUCAAGGGGACAGCGGCGGAACGCAGCCAAGCAGGCGCGGGGGGCGCAGUGUCAUGGGGAUGACCCUCCCUGAAAAGGACUGUGUACCGUUUUGGCUGGAGUCCAUCUAUGUCAUUCCACACCUGGUAUAAAGAAGGUUUCUUGAGAGUGACAAGAUGCUGCCCCUGAAGAUUUGACGGCUCGUCUGCUGGCACUCCCAUCCCUGGUGUGGCUUCGUGCUCCCCUUGAGUCUGAAAUCUAUUCAACCUGCUUGGAAUUUACAAGGGACAUCUGCUAUAGUGAUUCAGAAAUCCCUACCCAGCCUCUUUAUGCAGGAUGGGUCAGUAUAGAUAUCCUGCAUCCCUAAGGUUGCCGACUCUGUUAUAGGGUAGUUGCAGUCACCUGCGUACGGGGAGCUGAUUACAGGAUUGAGGCAGGUGACAGGACCUUCAGUGGGUUGUGUUAUAGGGCAUAUGACUUGAUCCCACCCCCCCUUAUAUCAACCUCAUUCCAUCUCUUAAUUUAAAAAAAAGCAUCUUAAAGCCUUUUAUUCCCAAGGUGGGGGCUUUUCAGGCUGAUUGCUAUUGGCCCUGUCAGCUAGGGUUGAAGGUCAAAUGAGGGCUAGGAUUCAAAUCAACUGCACUGAAAUCUCAUAGCCCAAAGAAGUGGAAAAUUCACAAUAUCAGCUGAUCUCAGGAAAUUUCCACCAUCUCGGACUGUGAUAUCCUGCCGUGACUUGCAAGAUUCUAGCCACCUCUGAACUAGAAAAUAGACCUCAUUCCAGUUAUUGAUCCAAUACAGACCCCAAGUUGGAGG